rnacentral:rRNA from 1 species
UACAGAGGGGGCGAGCGGUGUCCGGAUUCACUGGGGGUAAAGGGCGCGUAGGCGGGUUUGUAAGUCAGGGGUGAAAUCUCACGGCUUAACCGUGAAACUGCCUCUGAUACUGCAAAUCUUGAGUUCGGAAGAGAGUAGCGGAAUUCCAGGUGUAGUGGUGAAAUACGUAGAUAUCUGGAAGAACACCAGUGGCGAAGGCGGCUACUUGGUCCGUAACUGACGCUGAGGCGCGAAAGCGUGGGGAGCAAAUAGG